CCUACGGGAGGCAGCAGUGAGGAAUAUUGGUCAAUGGGCGCGAGCCUGAACCAGCCAAGUAGCGUGAAGGAUGACUGCCCUACGGGUUGUAAACUUCUUUUAUAAAGGAAUAAAGUGAGGCACGUGUGCCUUUUUGUAUGUACUUUAUGAAUAAGGAUCGGCUAACUCCGUGCCAGCAGCCGCGGUAAUACGGAGGGUCCGAGCGUUAUCCGGAUUGAUUGGGUUUAAAGGGAGCGUAGGUGGGUUGUUAAGUCAGUUGUGAAAGUUUGGGGCUCAACCGUAAAAUUGCAAGUGAUACUGGCAGUCUUGAGUACAGUAGAGGUAUGCGGAAUUCGUGGUGUAGCGGUGAAAUGCUUAGAUAUCACGAAGAACUCCGAUUGCGAAGGCAGCUUACUAGACUGCCACUGACAUUGAUGCGCGAAAGUGUGGGUAUCAAACAGGAUUAGAUACCCUGGUAGUC
rnacentral:rRNA from 1 species